rnacentral:rRNA from 1 species
GAUGAACGCUGGCGGCGUGCCUAAUACAUGCAAGUCGAGCGGACGGACGAGAAGCUUGCUUCUCUGAUGUUAGCGGCGGGCGGGUGAGAAACACGUGGAUAACCUACCUAUCAGACUGGGAUAACUUCGGGAAACCGGAGCUAAUACCGGAUAAUAUUUUGAACCGCAUGGUUCGAAGGUGAAAGACGGUCUUGCUGUCUCUUCUAGAUGGAUCCGCGCUGCAUUAGCUAGUUGGUAAGGUAACGGCUUACCAAGGCAACGAUGCAUAGCCGACCUGUGAGGGUGAUCGGCCACACUGGAACUGAGACACGGUCCAGACUCCUACGGGAGGCAGCAGUAGGGAAUCUGCCGCAAUGGGCGAAAGCCUGACGGAGCAACGCCGCGUGAGUGAUGAAGGUCUUCGGAUCGUAAAACUCUGUUAUUAGGGAAGAACAGAUGUGUAAGUAACUGUGCACAUCUUGACGGUACCUAAUCAGAAAGCCACGGCUAACUACGUG